rnacentral:rRNA from 1 species
GAUGAACGCUGGCGGCGUGCCUAAUACAUGCAAGUCGAGCGAACAGACGAGGAGCUUGCUCCUCUGACGUUAGCGGCGGACGGGUGAGUAACACGUGGAUAACCUACCUAUAAGACUGGGAUAACUUCGGGAAACCGGCGCUAAUACCGGAUAAUAUUUUGAACCGCAUGGUUCAAUAGUGAAAGACGGUUUUGCUGUCACUUAUAGAUGGAUCCGCGCCGCAUUAGCUAGUUGGUAAGCUAACGGCUUACCAAGGCAACGAUGCGUAGCCGACCUGGGAGGGUGAUCGGCCACACUGGAAGUGAGACACGGUCCAGACUCCUACGGGAGGCAGCAGUAGGGAAGCUGCAGCAAUGGGCGAAAGCGUGACGGAGCAAAGCCGCGUGAGUGAUGAAGGUCUUCGGAUCGUAAAACCCUGCUAUUAGGGAAGAACAAAUGUGAAAGUAAAUAGGCACGGCUUGACGGUACCUAAUCAGAAAGCCACGGCUAACUACGUG